CUCGCGUCUGAUUAGCUAGUUGGUGAGGUAAUAGCUUACCAAGGCGAUGAUCAGUAGCUGGUCCGAGAGGAUGAUCAGCCACACUGGGACUGAGACACGGCCCAGACUCCUACGGGAGGCAGCAGUGGGGAAUUUUCCGCAAUGGGCGAAAGCCUGACGGAGCAAUGCCGCGUGGAGGUGGAAGGCCUACGGGUCGUCAACUUCUUUUCUCGGAGAAGAAACAAUGACGGUAUCUGAGGAAUAAGCAUCGGCUAACUCUGUG
rnacentral:rRNA from 1 species